GCUACUUCCUCCCGCCCUGCCGCCCGCUACGCGGCCUUCGGGCGCCCCUUCCUCUGCUCAGGAUGGCGCUACACUUCGAAGCUCUGUUCAGCCCGCCGAUCUCAGGGAGUUAGGCAGCAAGCCCACGACCCAUCGGGCACCCCAGCCUGGCCUUCGAGGUUAUCGUGGUCCUAAAUAAAUGCAGGCCAGGUGCGAGAAGCCCGGUAGUUAGGUCUGCUCAUUCUCACCCCUGCAAUUCCGCUUUCAGCUGGAGGCCUUAGGCGAGUCAGCUGCCCAAACGUGGGAUCGGGGCUCCUGCUCCAGCGGCCCUACAGGGAUUUCGGGAAGUACCAUGUGCACCAGCGCCUUGGGACCAAGACUCAAUGGUGUGUUGUAGUCAUUAACAGUCGCCUUAAACAGUCGACGCCAGAGCCACCUGGCCCACCGCAGAAUUCCGUCAGCUCUUCAUACUGAGCUACUUGCCAAGCAGCCACAGAGGGGCGAUAGCAACAGGGGAAGGAGAGGUACUCCACAUUAGUUACCCAGGCGUGUACUUAGUUCCUGGAACAAGAUACAACGUCCUGAACACUAUGUUUUCCAGUCGCCCCGCUCACACACACAACCCUCCUCUUGGAGGGAGAAGUAAACCCAGAGGAAAGAGGAAGUCAGGCAGUUGGUCUAGAUGCGUCUCCAUACACUUGUCUAACAGUCCUUGUCCUCAGAGAAAAAUAAGACCUAGUUCCUGCCCUCAUAGAAUCUAGUAGAAAAGAAGAGAUGUUACAGAAAUAACCUCAAUGCCUAGCAGUAUGUGGUAAGUGCCAUUAAAGUGUGUGAACCAGGCCGGGCGCGGUGGUUCAAGCCUGUCGUCCCAGCACUUUGGGAGGCUGAGGCGGAAGGAUAGGUUCAGCCCAGGAGUUAGAGACCAACCUCGGCAACAUAGCGAAAUCCCGUCUCUACAAAAAAAUACAAAAAAUAGCCGGGCAGUGGCUCGCGUCUGUGGUCCCAGGUACUUGGGAGGCUGAGGUAGGAAGAUCCCUUGAGCCCAGGAGGUCGAGGUUGCAGUGAGUCGAGAUGGCGCCACUGCACUUGAGACUGGACGGCAAAGUGAGACCCUGUCUCAAAAAAAAAAAAAUAAAUACAAAUAAAGGGUGUGAACCGGCCGGGCGCGGUGGCUCACACCUGUAAUCCCAGCACUUUGGGAGGCCGAGGCAGGAGGAUCACCUGAGGUCGGGCAUUCGAGACCAGCCUGACCAACGUGGAGACCGAAAUGUCUUAAAAAAAAAAAAAAAAAAAGACCGGGCGUCCGGCGCGGUGGUUCAUGUUUGUAAUCCUAGGACUUUGGGAGGCCGAGGCGGGCAGAUCACGAGGUUAGGAGUUCGAGACCAGCGUGGCUAAUAUGGUGAAACCCCUUCUCUACUAAAAAUACAAAAAAAAAAAAAAAAAUUAGCCGUUAGUGGUGGCCCACACCUAGUCUCAGCUACU
rnacentral:lncRNA from 1 species